AGACCAGACAGGAUCCCUCGGGUGGAAUCCAGGGCUGCUGUUUCUCUUGGGGGCUCCUCCUCAGUGAAUGGAUGGGUGGUAAUCUCCUUUCCUACCUGUCCUAGCGGUAGCCUCUGUUCCUUCUCUUGUUUUAUCUCAUUUUAUUUUUUUAAAAAAUACCAAAACCAUUCUCUCACCUGCCAGAGAGGAGCUCAUAGGAGUUGGGCUUCCUCAGAGAGUGUUCCUCCCUCGUCCCCUGUCCUGUCCAGGCACCUGCGAGCAGGAUGGUGUGUCCCCGGCUAAAUCCACAGGCGCUCCACUCUGUCCCAGAGAGCCCACAGCCAAAAACUUCGUCCUGUCCUGGAAAAGCUUCACUGCCUUCCAACAGAGCCUUCCUGCAUGCCGAGGUUGAAGAGGUGUCCGCUGAGUGCUCUGUCUUCUGGGAAUUUUGGCUGUUUCCUGCAACCUAUCAUCAGAUGCCACACUUAUGAGACCCUCAUCCUUCUGCUCACUCUCUUCCAUUGUUUCACUCAUUAAAAAUAUAUAUUUUAAGCAA
rnacentral:lncRNA from 1 species